AUAGCUGGUUCUCUCCGAAAUAGCUUUAGGGCUAGCCUCGUGGAGAGGAUAAUGGAGGUAGAGCUCUGUUUGGACUAGGGGCCCGUCAGGGGUUACUGAAUCCAGAUAAACUGCGAAUUCCAUAUAUCCAUACACGGGAGUCAGACUGCGAGUGAUAAGAUCCGUAGUCGAAAGGGAAACAGCCCAGAUCACCAGUUAAGGUCCCCAAAUCUAUGCUAAGUGGAAAAGGAUGUGGAGUUGCGUAGACAACUAGGACGUUGGCUCAGAAGCAGCCAUCAUUCAAAGAGUGCGUAAUAGCUCACUAGUCGAGUGGCGCUGCGCCGAAAAUUUACCGGGGCUAAGCAUAGUACCGAAACUGUGGAUGUGUUUUAAAGAGCACGUGGUAGGAGAGCGUUCUAAGUGCGGCGAAGGCUAAUCGAGAGGAUAGUUGGAGCGCUUAGAAGUGAGAAUGCCGGUAUGAGUAGCGAAAGAUAGGUGAGAAUCCUAUCCGCCGAAAGACUAAGGUUUCCUGGGGCAGGCUCGUCCGCCCAGGGUAAGUCGGGACCUAAGGCAAGGCCGAGAGGCGUAGUCGAUGGAUAACAGGUAGAGAUUCCUGUACUGUGUUCAAUCGUUAUGAGCAAUGGAGGGACGCAGGAGGCGAAACACGCAUCGAGCUGGAUCGAUGUUCAAGCAGCGAGUGCGGUUAAGAGUCAAAUGCUUCUAACCAGCAACAUGAGCUGUGAUGAGUAGCGAAGUAAAAGUAGCGAAGGUGAUGUAGUCACACUGCCAAGAAAAGCUUCUAGCCAGAGAGAACAUACCCGUACCGCAAACCGACACAGGUAGUCGAGUGGAGAACACUAAGGUGAGCGAGAGAACUCUCGUUAAGGAACUCGGCAAAAUGACCCCGUAACUUCGGAAGAAGGGGUGCUGGCCAUGAGAGUGGUUAGCCGCAGUGAAUAGGCCCAAACAACUGUUUAUCAAAAACACAGGUCUCUGCAAAAUCGUAAGAUGACGUAUAGAGGCUGACACCUGCCCGGUGCUGGAAGGUUAAGAGGAGAGCUUAGCGCAAGCGAAGGUUUGAAUUGAAGCCCCAGUAAACGGCGGCCGUAACUAUAACGGUCCUAAGGUAGCGAAAUUCCUUGUCGGGUAAGUUCCGACCUGCACGAAAGGUGUAAUGAUUUGGGCACUGUCUCAACGAGAGACUCGGUGAAAUUAUAAUACCCGUGAAGAUGCGGGUUACCCGCGACAGGACGGAAAGACCCCAUGGAGCUUCACUGUAGCUUGAUAUUGAGUAUCUUUUAAACAUGUACAGGAUAGGUAGGAGCCAAGGAAUGCAGGACGCUAGUCUUGCAGGAGGCAAUGUUGGGAUACUACCCUUGUUUGAAGGAUGCUCUAACCUCGACCUGUAAGCCAGGCCAG
rnacentral:rRNA from 1 species